AUUGGAGGAGGUCGCACGCAUGCGGAGGCAGGCGCAGGACACCCUGUUGCAGCGGUGGACGGAGGACCUGGCCCCGCCGAUCCCCGGGCAGUGGAGAGGACGCGCUCAGGCCGAUGUAUUCACCGCGAGUGGAAGUAUGUGAAAUGAAGAGGAAAGCCAGAGCCAGUCGCAAUAAUCAGCUAGUGAUGGAUAUUCGUAAGGCGUACAAUCAGCCUUUAAUAAUAAGUAAAGAAAAACUUAAGGAUAUUCUGUCUUUAUUACAGUACAUUGAUCCGAUAUACCAAGAUUUCUAUAAGAAUGUAUUAGUGAUUAUAAUUCCGAUUCAGAAUAGAAAUUAUUCUAUUAAUGAGUAUAUUAUCUUAUUUGUUAAUGCUGAUUCGAGCGCAAUGUUAAUUGCCAAAUAAAUAUAUUGCAUUGUCA